CUUCAGUGUUUUCAUUUAUUUUCAGCAAGGACAGUCAACAUCAUCAGCAUCACUCCUCCAGUCCAUCGCUGUAAUGAAAAUUGGCAGCUCUUGAGAAAAACAGUAACCACUCAGAGGAAAGUACCUGCUCCAUGGACCAUGAACAGCAGAGGAACCACUUUAGCCCAAAUAAUACCACCAAGCAGUGUCACCCACAAUUUUAAUUCAGCUUUGCUCUGAGCGACUUUUGGCUGUCCUCUAAAUAAGCUGCACUAUGAAGGCAUGAGUAUAUUUCAUCAAUGAAGAUCAUCAAAAGAGUGUGCUUAAGGCUAUGAGGGAAGUUUCAAAAGUGGGUCCCCACGUGAUUUUCAUCAGUGGAAACAUCAUUGGAACAGCAUCAUUUCUCCAAAUGAUGAUAUUGAAUAAGAAAAUA